rnacentral:rRNA from 1 species
GACGAACGCUGGCGGCGUGCCUAACACAUGCAAGUCGAGCGAAUGAAGUUCCUUCGGGAACGGAUUUAGCGGCGGACGGGUGAGUAACACGUGGGCAACCUGCCUCAUAGAGGGGAAUAGCCUUCCGAAAGGGAGAUUAAUACCGCAUAAGAUUGUAGUACCGCAUGGUACAGCAAUUAAAGGAGCAAUCCGCUAUGAGAUGGGCCCGCGGCGCAUUAGCUAGUUGGUGAGGUAACGGCUAACCAAGGCGACGAUGCGUAGCCGACCUGAGAGGGUGAUCGGCCACAUUGGGACUGAGACACGGCCCAGACUCCUACGGGAGGCAGCAGUGGGGAAUAUUGCACAAUGGGGGAAACCCUGAUGCAGCAACGCCGCGUGAGUGAUGACGGCCUUCGGGUUGUAAAGCUCUGUCUUCAGGGACGAUAAUGACGGUACCUGAGGAGGAAGCCACGGCUAACUACGUG